rnacentral:rRNA from 1 species
GGAUUAGAUACCCUGGUAGUCCACGCCCUAAACGAUGUGUGCUAGACGUUGGGGGGCUUGCCCUUCGGUGUCGUAGCUAACGUGUUAAGCACACCGCCUGGGGAGUACGGUCGCAAGAUUAAAACUCAAAGGAAUUGACGGGGGCCCGCACAAGCGGUGGAGCAUGUGGUUUAAUUCGACGCAACGCGCAGAACCUUACCAGCCCUUGACAUGAUAGUUGCGGUUCCGAGAGAUCGGUUCCUUCCUUCGGGAGACUAUUACAGGUGCUGCAUGGCUGUCGUCAGCUCGUGCCG